UUCAAGUGGAUGUCCAGGCCAGCAGCUUCAAGUGCUCUCAUUCACAGGUGACCCAUCAAAAAUGUCUCUGCUGAGUUUGGUGGCACUGACAUCAAAGGUACACCAACAGAAGAUUUCGGCUCAGCAUUUUUCAUUGCAUGUCCACACCGACAUCACCAUUUCAAAGCCUGAUGUAGGAUGGAACGAGCAGAUCCUGCCAGUUUUCACUGCCUGUGUUUGGCAGCAGGCAGUUUUUGUGAUGGGCUUUACUGGAGGUGAGGCGACAGACACUUGUGGCAGCCCCUCAAUCAGACGUGGCACUCGAUACCCUGACUUCAGGGACAACAGCAAGAAUUUCUGGAGUCCAUUGCUAAACGGCCAUGCUACUUAAUUAGUUUUAUGCUUUUUUUUUUUUUCUUUCUUCUUUUUUUUUUUUCUCCUUCUUGCUCUUUCGUGGCAGGCAGGCUGGUUCACAGGACAGUACACUGGGAAGAUGGGCCAAUACGAGUGCUCUUCCAUGCAAAGACAUCUCAUAUGACAUAAAUGGCAUAAGUUCCAACCCUGGUCUGCUACCAUAUGCUCCUGCAGCUGCUGCUGUGGUCCUUAUCUUGCCCUGAGAAUCGCCUGAGACUCAGAUGGGGUGAGGGAGGUCUGAGGGCAUCAGGGCCACCCAGGGCACGGAUGGCACAUGUCCUUAGAGCAGUCGAGCAGCUAGCAACAAAACAGUAUGCAGGAGAUAAACAAGCUUUUGCAGAUAAUUGACAACAUCGGCCAGUGACAUUUCAGCCAGCCAGCAUGGCUUAAUCAGCUUGUACCUGCCCAGCCCUGCCACUGAGAUCAGGCCCUCCUUGCGCUGCAAGAAAAUUGUCUGUGGGGAAGAGGGAAGUGGAGGUGAAAGUUCUUGUGUUUAACAUCUGUUAAUGAAAGAUCAUUUAAUCAAUUGCAAAAACAAGAAUAGUCACCUCUCCAGAUUCCCAAAGACGUGUUCAUGUGGUGCUGCAGCUCUUCUUGGAUCCGUGCUCCCAAAAGGAUGACACUGCUGAGAAGGGAGGGCAGUUCAGUUUCAGAAAGGUUUUUGCCUUGUAGCAUGGUGGAGACAAGGGCCUGAUGGCUUGAGUCUGAGCUUGCCAGCCCCUUACAUGCGUGCCAGAUGUCCUAGUCCAGCAUCCAGCCCUCCCUCCCUACCACAACAGUGUAAGAACAAACCAGCCAGAGUUUAGUAGAAGACAGUAAAAAAAAAAAAAAAAAAACCAAACCCAAAAAAACCCAAACAACCCAAACCCAAAACAUAGAGGUGUUAUGCUAAUACCCUGUCACCUAAAGGAGUAAAGGGAGACCUGGCCGAUUCCAUUUUGAUGGUGAGGUGCAUCCAUCUGGAUGGAUGCUGUGUACAUCAGGACCCUCGGUGUCCUGAGAAACGGCUGAAAGAUAAAUUAUGGAACAUGAAAGCAGUGAUGCCUCCAGUGGGAUCGAGAGAGAACCAGGCUCACCAGCUCUGCCCCAGGCAAAGAACAGCCACACCAAUGGCCGUAUCUACCAGCCCCGUAAAUUUUGACGUCUUCUCCCUGUCCCAGCUGCACAGUGGGAGGAGUGGGAAGCAUCUGCCAGAGCAAAGGGAGAGUUUGUUGGAGGUAAUGAAGAAGGCUCAUCUUGGAGUCCUCCCCCUUGUGAACAUCUGGACAGAUAACAGCUCUUCCAAGAAAGAUUGAAAGAGCUGGGGAGGCCUCCUGGAAAGGGCAGGGAAAUGCUCCUCCUUAGAGCUGGUCAGUGUCAAGGGCAGUAAGGCGGAGAGAGGCUGCAGGGGCUAAUAGAGACCUUGUCACCUACAGGUCAAGGGUGGAACGGAUGGAACCAAGGCCACCAAAAGCCUACAGGGCAGAUGGUCUGCGGGUGAAACCAUGAGUCUUGAUCCUAGAAUAUGCUUCUUUUAGUCAAGUGCUGCAGCCUUGAAAUCCACUUAACCAUAUGGAUGGUAUCAAGAGGUGUAAUAAAAUGUUUUCUAUUUCAUUCAUGUCUCUGGAGGAGACUCCAUGCUCCCUCACUGGCUUCUCCGCUCAGCGAGUCCCCCUGGCAGUUGCCACCACUGUCUUUCAGCCAAGAGCAUGCCUUCCUCCUCAGGUCAAGUGACCCAUGACGGCACACAAGGACAUCACAAUAUGGCAAGAAUCACGUCAUUUACUCUGCAGACCACUCCACAGCAACAGCUAAGAGCAGAUCGCUUCUCUAACGUGCCGAAGUUGCUUUCAAAAAGGCUCAAAUCCCACUACCAUUCCAGCAGCAGCCUGCAGGAUGGCAAACUCCACCUGUGCACUCAUCGGCUUUUAAAAUGCCUUAAACAUAUUGCAUCCACUGGCCUGGUAUUGGAUUUCUCAAGCCCCAGUGAUGCAGAGGGGGUCUGCUGGGAGCGGUGUGAAAAGCAGCUCCUGAAACGCUGCUUUCUAAUUGACAGGACGGAGGGCAGGCACUACCUGCUGUUAGGGGGGAGAGCCAAGCAAGCCGUUAAGCUAUCAAGCAGAAGCCAAUGCAGGAUUGUUCCCCCCCCCGUGGUUCUCCAGAGCUUUGCCCAUCCAUGGCUGCCCCAGCAAAGAUCCUUUCCCUGCCUGCCCACACCUGGCCAGCCGCUGCAGGAGCAUCCCUGUGGUGUGAGUCCUUCCUACCCCCGCAAAGCCCAGGAGCGCACAGGGGCUCCUUCUGUCUCCAAAUGCAUCAGGUGGCGUGAAGCAGGCACAGACAUAGGAAGGACGAUUUAAGAGAACAGACUCCCCCUUGCUUGAAUUCCCUUCUCCCCACUGCACCAGGAGCUUAGGAAACUCAGGAGAGGGAUGAGCACACGUGGCAGAGCGAUGCCGAGGCACAGGGCGAGUGGGAGCAGGGAUCCCCCGCGCACUGCCAUCGAGGGUGUUUACAGAUCUGUGUUUGGCCACUGGAUCCAGCCUGCUGCACACCCUGAGGCUGUCACCACACAAAGCAAGCAAAGGGCAGUGGCUGCAUAUUUUACAGAAACAUAACAAAAGGAGAAAAAGAUUUGUUUUUCAGAGCUCGCAGGUUGCUGUUAGGCAGCUACUCCUUUCUAUGACAGUCGCUGUGGCUCAGAGACCACUGCAGACAUGCAGUUGCCAGGGUCUGAAGGGCAAAAUUCCUGUGUCUCAGUCUCCAAAUUCCUCAAAUAAGUCCCUCCAAUUUUUAUGUUUUCAUAAAGACAUGGCCUGCUGCCGGGUGACCUGGAAGAGGCAUCAUAGUGCUUUGUCAGCACACUCGCCUCACUGCAGAAGCUAAGGACCAAAUUGUCUUAUUAAUCAUUUAAAAA